rnacentral:rRNA from 1 species
GUUUGAUCCUGGCUCAGGAUGAACGCUAGCGGUGUGCCUAACACAUGCAAGUCGUGCGAUCGAGCUAGACUAAUCACCCUUCGGGGUGUGAAGACUAGUGACGGAGCGGCGGACUGGUGAGUAACACGUGGCUAACCUACCUUCUUGACGGGGAUAACUAUUCGAAAGAAUAGCUAAUACCCGAUAUUGCUGAAAAUCGAUGGAUCUUCAGCCAAAGGCGGCCUAGUCGUCACAAGAAGAUGGGGCUGCGCCCUAUUAGCUUGUUGGUAAGGUAAUGGCUUACCAAGGCGAUAAUGGGUAGCUGGUCUGAGAGGAUGAUCAGCCACAUUGGGACUGAGAUACGGCCCAGACUCCUACGGGAGGCAGCAGUGGGGAAUAUUUCACAAUGGGCGAAAGCCUGAUGGAGCAACACCGCGUGGGGGAUGAAUGCCUUCGGGUUGUAAACCCCUUUUCUGGGGGAAGAAUAAGGUCGGGAGGGAAUGCCCGUCCGAUGACGGUACUCCAGGAAUAAGGAUCGGCUAACUUCGUGCCAGCAGCCGCGGUAAGACGAGGGAUCCGAGUGUUAUCCGGAAUUACUGGGCGUAAAGGGCGUCUAGGCGGCCAAGUAAGUCACCCGUGAAAGUCCGCGGCUUAACCGCGGAAUGCCGGGUGGAACUGCUUGACUUGGGUACAGGAGAAGAGGGUGGAACUCACAGAGUAGCGGUGGAAUGCGUAGAUAUUGUGAGGUACCCCGAUGGCGAAGGCAACCCUCUGGNCUGCUACCGACGCUGAAGCGCGAAAGCGUGGGGAGCAAAGGGGAUUAGAUACCCCCGUAGUCCACGCCGCAAACGAUGUUCACUUGGUGUCGGUCGCUGAUACAGAUCGGUGCCGGAGCUAACGUGUUAAGUGAACCGCCUGGGGAGUACGGCCGCAAGGCUAAAACUCAAGAGAAUUGACGGGGGCCCGCACAAGCGGUGGAGCACGUGGUUCAAUUCGAUGAUAAACGAAUAACCUCACCUGGGUUUGACAUGCUAGUAGUAGGAACCAGAAACGGGGACGACUUUCCCUUUCGAGGGAAGGAGCUAGCACAGGUGAUGCAUGGCUGUCGUCAGCUCGUGUCGUGGGACGUAGGGUUAAGUCCCGAAACGAGCGCAACCCCUGUCGUCAGUUGCCAGCGGGUAAUGCCGGGGACUCUGACGAGACUGCUGGUGAAUAGCCGGGGGAAGGAGGGGACGACGUCAAGUCAUCAUGUCCCUUAUGCCCAGGGCUACACACAUGCUACAAUGGAAGGUACAAUGGGUCGCGAAACCGUAAGGUGAAGCCAAUCUCAAAAAGCCUUCCUCAGUUCGGAUUGAGGUCUGUAACUCGACCUCAUGAAGCUGGAAUCGCUAGUAAUCGCAGGUCAGCUAUACUGCGGUGAAUAUGUACUCGGGCCUUGUACACACCGCCCGUCACACCAAUCGAGUGGGGGGUACCUGAAGUCGUUCUUCUGAGAGCGCCUAGGGUAACCUUCGUAAGAGGGGUGAAGUCGUAACAAGGUAACCUUAAUUAAAA